rnacentral:rRNA from 1 species
GCGGAGGGAUCAUUACACAAAAAAUAUGAAGGCUGCAACCGCCAGUUUUGGCGGGGAAGCUGAAUUAUUUUUCACCCAUGUCUUUUGCGCACUUGUUGUUUCCUGGGCGGGUUCGCCCGCCACCAGGACCACACCAUAAACCUUUUUUAUGCAGUUGCAAUCAGCGUCAGUAUAACAAAUGUAAAUCAUUUACAACUUUCAACAACGGAUCUCUUGGUUCUGGCAUCGAUGAAGAACGCAGCGAAAUGCGAUACGUAGUGUGAAUUGCAGAAUUCAGUGAAUCAUCGAAUCUUUGAACGCACAUUGCGCCCUUUGGUAUUCCAAAGGGCAUGCCUGUUCGAGCGUCAUUUGUACCCUCAAGCUUUGCUUGGUGUUGGGCGUUUUGUCUUUGGCUUUUGCCCAAAGACUCGCCUUAAAACGAUUGGCAGCCGGCCUACUGGUUUCGGAGCGCAGCACAUUUUUGCGCUUGCAACUAGCUAAAGAGGCCAGCAAUCCAUCAAGACCUUCUUCUCACUUUUGACCUCGGAUCAGGUAGGGAUACCCGCUGAACUUAAGCAUAU